GCCUGGCAUAAGAAUCAGCUGCUUCUGAUGGCUUCGCCCUUGAGCCCCAUGAUGAGGGAAGAGUUAAAAAGAUGGCUUGGCAUCUUCUUCCGAGCAAGCGCAGCUCUCAGGCCGGGCCUGAGCCUGCAGCCUGUGUGCCCUCCAUCAUCAGGGCCCCCUCUCAGGACAGGCUACACCGAGGGUGGGACGGCGGACUUCCAGGGACACUUCCAAGUCGUGCCCAUGCAGAUACCUCAGUAUACACUGCCCACAGUUAAGAAACCACGACCUGAGACAUUGUUUUGAAGAGGUGAAAAUGCCUCCACUCAAGUGGCCCAGGAGCGUGAUCCAGGAAGACGAACACACAGAACCAUCUUCUGCAUGGUUUGAAAAUUCAGUGGAAACUAGUAAUGCCUAUGCGGGUUCACUGAUGAGAGGGCCCUAUGAGCCAUCCAGAGAAAAGCUGCCAUAUUUCCCUUCCAGAAGACCUGCUUGCAGGCCUUGAAUUUUGAGAGUGUGGGGAAAGCAGUCAAGCCCGCGCGGAGCGAUUGUGAGGGGCUCUGCUGGAAUUUGGCAGCGCGGAGGCUUGGAGAGAAGCCCCAUGCUGGCUCCCAUUCAGCCGGCCCGUUUUCCUCGAGCUUUGGAAGUUUCACUCAGCCGUGCACUCAAUGGCUUCACAAAGCUGAUUACAAGCUUCAGCGCAUUCCUGAAGGAGCCAAAAGCGACGCAGGUGCAAACGAGCCGAGGGAGCCCCUUAUCCCGGUGACAGAAUGGGACAAGCUGGGAAAGGCUUAGACCACACAAGUCCAAGGCUCACCAGGCCGCAGAAAGCCUGCCUUGGGAACCGGGGGUCAUUAUCCGCCCUAUUCAGCGGGGCCCGGGGACCCUGGGGGCCGAGCGAGGCCAGCCCGGGCGGGAGCACCGCCGCCAGCGCGCGCCGGCGACAGGGGGGAACCCCGCUGGGCGCUGCGGCCAGGCCGGGGCUCAGGGCGCUGGGCUGUGCGUUUGCACAAAUCUGUGUUCCGGCGGGCCGGUGUCAACCCUAGUGGGGACACGGGAGAAAGAGCACGCCAGUAGGCCACGCGGCGCGUGGGCAGUGCGCAACUUCUGUCGGCGUCCAGGCUGUACGGCCACGUUUCAGCCGGUGCCCCCAGGCCAUGGACACCCAGCUCCAGGGUCGCUCUGCGCCCUUUCUCCCCAGCCCACCUUUCCCAUUGGUCCCCUCUCCUGUCCGAGUGGCAGCGCGGCCCCGCAGGGAGCGACCCCGGGAGGGACAGUGACCGCACGCGUGGAGUGGGGACGGCGGGGCACAGGACGGUAGUCUAAGAGUGUUCGCAUGGCCGAGGACGCUUUCGCUGCGAGUUUGGGGUCGAGGGGCAGUUCCCUCCCGGAGUCAUUAACUUCGUCUCCUCGUGCUCAGGGACCAGCAACUUGGUGCUGCGGGCGCCAGAAAGAAAAGGGUAGCGCCUCGCGGAGCGCGCGGGGGAAGAGGGACUGCGGCAGCGGGACGCGAGGGCGGGAGGGGCGCAGCAGCGGGGAGCCGGAGCGCAGCGGAGGGGAGCGCUGGGGGGCGGGGAGCGCUCGGGCAGCCACCCUGUCCCCGUCUGGAGCCCCGCGCUGCGUCUAGGAGGGCGCAACACGCAGUCCCCGCGGGGGCCAGAGCUCGGAGCCCCCUAGUGCAUGCCCCCUCUCCUCGCGCCCUGCCGAGGCCUCGGCCCUGCCUGCCGUGCCCUGGGCCUGGUUGUGCCCGGGGGUCCCCGCGGGCAGGGCGCGGGGCAGGCAGGGCGCGCGCGCCGACGCUCUUUUGUCUGAUAACUAAUUUGAGUUAAUGCGAUCUUUAUGUAAAGCUAACAGCGGAUAAUUGUCUAUUUUCUCGCCAACAGUCUCCAUCACAAUCACUUAUCUGGAAACCUGCGGUUGGAUUAAUCGUUAUAUUCCCGAGAUGAGCGUCGCUGCAAUCCGCAGCGAACGCGGGUAGGGACCUGGAGACGCCUCCCGGGCGCUGGCGGGGCCGGUGUGGGCCAGCUCCGCUACCGCCUGAGACGCGGUGUGCCCAGGUGUUGGUGCCCGCGGGAGAGGGCUGUGGGGCGCCUUCCCCAGGAUUUGCUUGACUUGCUUUUCGCUCGAGUGGGUGGUGCGCGGGUGCGGGAGGCGGAGGGAGGAGGAGGGGUGAGGGGAGGAGGGCCUGUGGGGCUGCGGACCCGGAGCAGCCUGGGUGGAGCGCGGCCUCGGGAGGCCCUGGGUGCAUCGCGGCGGGGCCUGGGGGGGCCCAGGCGCCGGAGGAGCCGUCGGUGCCGGAAUGCAGCGUGUUUCACUUGGGAGAAACGUUGCCCUCGGUCCCUUGCCUCCCUCCUGUUGUCUCGGUUUUUCUGGCUUCGUCCUUCGUCCCACCCACCCGUUCCCACCUCAGGUCCCUCCCCCAGGAUCCCCUCCUUAAGGAUCCAGGUCUCUGAAAAUUAUUGGCAACAGUUACACGCCCCACGAUUGAAAUCCACAAGAGAAGAGUCCCAGUUCUGCAGGCCGCUCCAGGGCUAGGGGUAGAGAUGGUGGCAGGUGGUGCGUCAACUCUCUAGGGAAGAGGAACUUGCAUUACAAAGACUUGUCUUUCUGAGCUGAAGUCAAAACGGGGGCGUCAAGCGCGCUCCGUUUGGCGGCGGUGGAGGGGCCGCGCGCCCGCGCUGUCCCAGCCGGAGCUGCCCUGGCUGGUGAUUGGAGGUUUAACGUCCGGAAUUCAGGCGCUUCUGCAGCUCAGAUUUGCCGGCCAAGGGGCCUCAGUUGCAACUUUUCAAAAUGGUGUUUCUGGAAAAUAACAAAUUCAGACUCAACUGGUGACAGCUUUUGGCUAUAGAGAAUGAAACUGCUUCCCUUUGGCGGUGGAACUCUUAAACUUCGAAGAGUGAAAGAAUACAAUGAAAUAAAAUGCCAUAAGAUCACUGGAUUUUUCAGAAAAAGGAAGACCCCAAAUUACUCCCAAAAUGAGGCUUUGUAAAUUCUUGUUAAAAAUCUUUAAAUCUCGAAUUUCCCCCUACAACAUCUGAUGAGUGCUUUAAGAGCAAACGAGCAAAUCCCACCUCGAGAAUCAACAAACCCAAGCUCUGGCCAAGGCUCUCCCCGCGUUUUCUUCUCGUGACCUGGGGAAUGUCCCGCCCCAUCGCUCACCUGGCUCUUGUCAUCUCGCUCAUCUUGAAGUGACCCGUGGACAAUGCUGCUCCCUGCCGCAGCUCC
rnacentral:lncRNA from 10 species